CCGAGAACGAGGAGACAGAAAUAGCAAUGGAGCCAACCAGCGGGAGAGAGGCCACCCCUCCACCGGACCUCCUGAGUCCUUCACGCGGUAUCACAAGCUUGUCCCCUCCCUGCACAACUGGAGCCUGUUGCAGAGCCCUGGGGCCAGUCUGGGCCGCUUCUCCGACAGCCUCGGGCUGCACCUCCCUCCCUUCUGCUUUUAAGCUGCAUCAUCAGCUGCGGUGUUCUGUGUUCACCCACAUCCCCUCCUCCUAGCCUCUGGGCCGUUUGAUUCUGCGACACUCCUUUAGGAGCAGUUUCUAAAGAAUUCAACAAGAUAAUAUUUAUAAGGUACUUUAUCCAGGACUGGGAACCUGGUAAGGCUCAAGUGAAUGUUAGCUAUUAAUAUCCUUCUUAAAAAUGACACAUCAUUAGGCUGAAUUAAAUCACUGCUAAAUAGAUAGGUAUGGGUUAUGGAGAGUUCAGUCUGUGUCCCGCUUAUUUGCUGCUAGAUUCAUUGGCAAGAAUGAAAAGUAAUUGUUUCUGUCGCUGUCACCCCCACCACCAUGCAUACAUCUACAAAGAGCAGCUGGGCCUGGAGUACUUAAGUUUGAGACAUCCUUGCACUCAAGAGUGAACCGUUUUUGAGUUUGAGGCCACACUGCAGUAUCAAAAAGGCUUUGUUUUCAAAAGCCCAGGAGAGGGCCUCAACUUCAAGGGACCGCAGAGGCCAGGGUAAUGUAAUACCACAGAUAGUAGCCAGCUGCAGAGCACAUGACUUGCCCAGAGGAGUAGUGCUUGCUUAGCUCCAGUCAGUGGUUUCCCUGCAGCAACUGAGGGUCUAGAAUGUAGAAAUUAUGCAACAUCUCCCAAUGUUUAGGUGUUGCAAUGGAUUUUUUUUUUUUUUUUUUUGAGUCAGAGUCUCACUCUGUCGCCCAGGCUGGAGUGCAGAAGCAUGAUCUCUACUCACUGCAAGCUCUGCCUCCCGGGUUCAACCGAUUCUCCUGCCUCAGCCUCCCGAGUAGCUGGGAUUACAGGUGUGUGCCACCUGGCUAAUUUUUGUAUUUUCAGUAGAGUCAGGGUUUCACCAUGUUGGUUGGCUAGGCUGGUCUCAAACUCCUGACCUCAACUGAUCCUCCCGCCUCGGCUUCCCAAAGUGCUGGGAUUUCAGGCAUGAGCCACUGCGCCAGGCCAGCAAUGGAUUUUUUUUUUUUUUAACCUGUAACACAGCCCAGGAAAUCCUGAGAACAUGUGCCCUGCAUUUUAAAAGAUGAUAACACCACACUGCCCAAACAGAACACAUAUGAGGACCACAUUCAUCCCCGCGCUACCUGCAUGUAAACUCUAAGGAACUGGAAUCCUUCCUCCCAAAGUGAGAGGUCGGAUUCCCCCAAGGGCAAGAAGAAGGAGCAGCAGAUGCCCAGAGAGGCACUGAUGCUCCUCCUCUCAUAUAAAGUCCCCUGGUGAGCAGGGCUUUGGACUAGGGGUGGGGAUGGUGUAAAUGCCUGGGCACCAAGCACUAGGACUUCAGUCUCUAGGGCCACAGAGGGGGUCCUUCUGCUUAGCCAGGCUCUGGGGCAGUGCAUAUAGCCAGUAGGGCCAGCCUCUUUUUCUUGGAUUGGUAAGCCCUGUAGUGGAAGCUUCUGAGAGUGGCUGAUGUGGGCAGCUCAAUUUUGCCCAGACUGUGUAAGCCCUUGAGUCCUGGUACAAGCCCAGGAACAAAGAGGAGUCACUGGGGGAAAAAAGCCAGACAUUAGAAGUGGGGGCUUAAAGCAGGUUUUAUCCAAUUAAAAAAGAAAGAAAUAUGGCAUUUUUUACAUCUUGGGUAUCACAGAAAAAUUCAUACCUUUCAACAGAUUAAAUUAUUAUCAAGGCUGGGCAUGGUGGCUCAUGCCUAUAAUCCCAGCACUUUGGGAGGCUGAGGCAGAUGAGUUGCUUGAGCCCGGGAGUUCGAGACCAGCCUGGGCAACAUGUUGAAAUCCCAUCUUCACUAAAAAUACAAAAAUUAGCUGGGCAUGAUGGUGCAUGCAUGUAAUCCCAGCUAACUGGGAGGCUGAGGUGGGAGGAUCACUUGAGCCCUGGAGGUCGAGGCUCCAGUGAGCCAAGGUUGCAUCAUGGUGCUCCAGCCUGGGAGACAGAAUGAGACCCUGUCUAAAA
rnacentral:lncRNA from 1 species